rnacentral:lncRNA from 1 species
CAAGUUACGGCCUGGCACCCCUAGCCGUAUUGCACCAACACUUGCAGACUUGUCAUACUAAGCAUUCUUUCUGAAAUAAUAAAUCAGUCAGUCAAGUUUCAUCCUUCAACCAGUGCAGUGCUGAAGUUAAUCGUCCGAACCUCCCCACGGGCCAGGAAGCAGCCAACAUGGCCCGCUUCCCGGGAACCCCGUACAUAACUGGCGCAGUCGGUCGUCUCGGUGAAUUACCGAGACUUAAGAGAAUCAGGAUGAUAAUCACGAGCCGAAACCGAGGACUGGCAGGCAAACAGCAUCGAAAAAAAAUCAAUAGCAUCUUCAUUCCUUCUUUUAUUUGAUAUUUCUAACGCUUUUUACUUUUAGACUUCCACCAUAUUCACUCAACACCCGCUUGGUAACCACGUCUAGGGAAAGCAGCAGACGUGCAAAACAACCAGGCUAAUUUCUCCCCAAUGAACCUAACCAGCGUUUUGAGAGGUAGUAAUGGAUAUGAAGAAUGAGUUGUAAUUGUAAAAUUCGUAAUCAUUGUGGCGUUAACGAAAAGAACAAAAAAAAAGGGUUUUAUGCCGUGAUUGAGGAGAGAGCAGACAUAGCUCAACCUCAACCCAAGUGCUUUUGUCCCUUCCAAAAGCCUUAGCCUGCAAAAAUUCUGAUGGAUGCUACUAAGAAACUGUACACCGAAUAUCGCUGUUAGAAUUAAGUUUGGUAGGACAAGUUAGCAAGAAAUCGUUUAAAUCAAACCAGAAAAUUCUCAUAAUUCUUAUGAGCCUGAGCCGCAUCAACCAAAUGCUAGGAAUGUGAUAUCCUUGAUACGUCAGGAAUCCUUCCUGUUGCCAUCCCGGGGCUCCAGACAACUAGAUUUGUGAGGCCCUCGACACGUCAGGACUCCGUCUAGCCUGGAACAGUCAUUGGGAAUGUGAUGUCCUCGAUACGUCAGGCAUCCGCCCUUGGACGAACUCCGCAGCAACUCGAGCACAUCAGUGGAACUCAGAGAAAAAACUAAAACAGUUUUUUAAAGUCGAAUCGAGACGAUUCGAGUCUAACGAUGGGGUAGUUACGGCCUGGCACCCCUAGCCGUAUUGCACCAACACUUGCAGACUUGUCAUACUAAGCAUUCUUUCUGAAAUAAUAAAUCAGUCAGUCAAGUUUCAUCCUUCAA